ensembl:snRNA U4 U4 spliceosomal RNA
GGCUUUGUGCAGUAGCAGUAUCGUAGCCAGUGAGGUUCAAAUGAGGCACAAUUAUUGAUGAUUGAAACAAAAUUUCCUCUUUUGCAAGUAAAAACUCCAGGCACCAGAGUGUUUGUUUGCUCUGCCAUGUG